rnacentral:tRNA from 1 species
GAGACUAUAGGCUAAAGAAGCUGUCAAACUCAUAAUUUGAAGAUAACCAAGUUGUUUGGUCUUA